AUUGAACGCUGGCGGCAGGCCUAACACAUGCAAGUCGAACGGUAGCACAGAGAGCUUGCUCUCGGGUGACGAGUGGCGGACGGGUGAGUAACGUCUGGGAAACUGCCCGAUGGAGGGGGAUAACCACUGGAAACGGUAGCUAAUACCGCAUAACGUCGCAAGACCAAAGUGGGGGACCUCCGGGCCUCACACCAUCGGAUGUGCCCAGAUGGGAUUAGCUAGUAGGUGGGGUAAUGGCUCACCUAGGCGACGAUCCCUAGCUGGUCUGAGAGGAUGACCAGCCACACUGGAACUGAGACACGGUCCAGACUCCUACGGGAGGCAGCAGUGGGGAAUAUUGCACAAUGGGCGCAAGCCUGAUGCAGCCAUGCCGCGUGUAUGAAGAAGGCCUUCGGGUUGUAAAGUACUUUCAGCGGGGAGGAGGGCGGUGAAGUUAAUAACUUCACCGAUUGACGUUACCCGCAGAAGAAGCACCGGCUAACUCCGUGCCAGCAGCCGCAGUAAAAC
rnacentral:rRNA from 1 species